rnacentral:rRNA from 1 species
AUUGAACGCUGGCGGCAUGCCUUACACAUGCAAGUCGAACGGCAGCGCGGACUUCGGUCUGGCGGCGAGUGGCGAACGGGUGAGUAAUACAUCGGAACGUACCCUGUUGUGGGGGAUAACUAGUCGAAAGAUUAGCUAAUACCGCAUACGACCUGAGGGUGAAAGUGGGGGAUCGCAAGGCCCCACGCAGCAGGAGCGGCCGAUGUCUGAUUAGCUAGUUGGUGGGGUAAAGGCCCACCAAGGCGACGAUCAGUAGCUGGUCUGAGAGGACGAUCAGCCACACUGGGACUGAGACACGGCCCAGACUCCUACGGGAGGCAGCAGUGGGGAAUUUUGGACAAUGGGGGCAACCCUGAUCCAGCAAUGCCGCGUGUGUGAAGAAGGCCUUCGGGUUGUAAAGCACUUUUGUCCGGAAAGAAAUCGCGCUGGUUAAUACCUGGCGUGGAUGACGGUACCGGAAGAAUAAGCACCGGCUAACUACGUG